CCGGGAUAGCUCAGCUGGUAGAGCAGAGGACUGAAAAUCCUC
rnacentral:tRNA from 3 species